rnacentral:rRNA from 1 species
AUUGAACGCUGGCGGCAUGCCUUACACAUGCAAGUCGAACGGUAACAGGUUAAGCUGACGAGUGGCGAACGGGUGAGUAAUGUAUCGGAACGUGCCCAGUCGUGGGGGAUAACUACUUGAAAGAGUGGCUAAUACCGCAUACGACCUGAGGGUGAAAGCGGGGGAUCGCAAGACCUCGCGCGAAUGGAGCGGCCGAUAUCAGAUUAGCUAGUUGGGGAGGUAAAGGAUCACCAAUGCGACGAUCUGUAGCUGGUCUGAGAGGACGACCAGCCACACUGGGACUGAGACACGGCCCAGACUCCUACGGGAGGCAGCAGUGGGGAAUUUUGGACAAUGGGCGCAAGCCUGAUCCAGCCAUGCCGCGUGUGGGAAGAAGGCCUUCGGGUUGUAAACCACUUUUGUCGGGGAAGAAACGGUUUGGGCUAAUACCCUGAGCUAAUGACGGUACCCGAAGAAUAAGCACCGGCUAACUACGUGCCAGCAGCCGCCGUAA